CCAAUAAGAAGAGAAACAGUUUAGGAAGAUAUUAUUUUAAAACGGAAGCAUUUUUGUGGAACAGUUCUUUUUUUACAGUUUAAACUAAAACCUAAACAGAUCAUUACUAUUAUGUAUCAGUCCACAGUUCUUUAUACAUGAACCCUGUCAGUCGAACAGCAGGUUUACAACAGGGCUUCCCUGAACAAACCCCCCCUGGUCUAACAGCAGGUUUACAACAGGGCUUCCCUGAACAAACCCCAACUGGUCUAACAGCAGGUUUACAACAGGGCUUCCCUGAACAAACCCCCCCUGGUCUAACAGCAGGUUUACAACAGGGCUUCACUGAACAAACCCCCCCCACACU